GUGUAUGUAUAUAGUGUGCGUGGUCAGAGGACAGUUUACAGGAGUUGAUCUUGUCCUUCCAUCAUGUGGAUGGAACUCAUAUUUGGUAGUCUUAAUUUUUACGGCUAAUCCAUCACAUUAGGGAUUUUUUGUUUUUGUUUUAUGUGAGUACUGGGAAUCCAAACUCUAUGCUCCAUGCUUGCAUAGUGCGUGCCCUUACCCAGAGAGCCAUAUUCCCAGCCCAGAUGUACCUGUUAUGAGAUAUAUAUUAUUGUUUUGAGAAUAAUGAUAGUGAAGAUGAUAAGGGGAAGGUUUACACCUGUUCAGAAUAAAGGUAAACACGGUAGAUAUAUGGUUGCUAUAGAUGAGUGACUGACACAUGGGGAUGGGUGACAGGCAGCCAGUGUUAAUGAGAAGUGUGGAGUUUCUUUUGAGAGAAUGAUGUUGUCCCUAAAUGUCACCCCUACUCAUUUGACCAUUAUGGUUUGUUGUUUAAGAUACUAACUUCUUUUCCAGUCAUCAGAAUAAGUUAAACCAUCUUUUGGUACAGAUGAACAUGACUAUAUCAGUUAUCAGAGUGACCACCGAAUUCACUCUCCGGGCCACAGAGUCGUAGAUCACGCUCCGUCAGAGUUGGCUAAAAACAAACGCUAUGUGAGCUUCAAACGGAAAAAAGGAAGUUUGAGUCCAAUUCGCCUCUGUAAACCCUUAAAAGGUAUCCCAACAGGUGUUUUCAAAGACUCAGGAGAGGAUUUUAUGAAUCAGAAGUCUGCACUUGAGAGAUCUGAGUGGUUUUGUUUUGUUUUUAAGUUGGAAAAGAUGCAGUUUUAGAACUGGGGUGGAGAAUCAGGGACAUUAAACCAUCCACACCUGUAACUGAAGUUUAUUUUACAUUUGGUCUUUUGUUUUGUUUUGUUUUCCAUUGAAAAUCUUUUCCUCUCUUCCCUAAUGGAAUUUUAUUGAUGUGUGCUAGAAGGGUAUGUGUAUGUGUGCAUGUGUUGGGGUCUCCCCCAUAUAACCUGGCUGGACUCAAAUUUGUGAUAACCCUUUUGCCUCAGCCUCCCAAGUGCUGGGAUUACAGGUGUAUGCCACCAUACACCGCUCCUGAUUGAAUUUUAAAUCAUGCUCUUUUCUCAAUUCAGUGCCUUCUCCCCUGAAGAAGCAUUAUCUUAGGGCUAUACAUUUUAGCUAGGUGUGGUAGGGCAUGCUAGUCCAUCCCUUACGAAAAAGAGGUUGAAGGACCAGGAAUUCGACAUUAUGCUUGGCUAUGCAGUGAGUUCUGAAGCAGCCUUAAGAUCCUGUUUCUAAAACCCUCAGUUAAAGUGGGGUAUUGUAAGUGGUUUUCCUAGUCAUGAUUCUGGAAUAAACAAUACAUUGUGUAGUAAUUUGUGCGUGUG
rnacentral:lncRNA from 1 species